rnacentral:rRNA from 1 species
GUGCACCUGGCGAGAAUUUUUCUCAAUGGGGGCAACCCUGAAGGAGCGACGCCGCGUGGAGGAUGAAGGCUUUCGGGUUGUAAACUCCUGUCAUUUGGGAACAAGUUGGACGCAGUAACUACGCGUCCAUUGAUAGUACCAGAAGAGGAAGGGACGGCUAACUCUGUGCCAGCAGCCGCGGUAAUACAGAGGUCCCAAGCGUUGUUCGGAUUCAUUGGGCGUAAAGGGUGCGUAGGUGGCGCCGUAAGUGGGGUGUGAAAUUUCGGAGCUUAACUCCGAAACUGCAUUCCAUACUGCGGUGCUUGAGGACUGGGGAGGAGACUGGAAUUCAUGGUGUAGCAGUGAAAUGCGUAGAGAUCAUGAGGAAGACCAGUGGCGAAGGCGGGUCCCUGGACAGUUCCUGACACUGAGGCACGAAGGCCAGGGGAGCAAACGGGAUUAGAUACCCGCGUAGU